GCUGGGCAUGGUGGUGGGUGCCUGUAAUCCCAGCUACUUGGGAGGCUGAGGCAGGAGAAUCACUUGAACCCAGGAGGCAGAGGUUGCAGUGAGCCAAGAUCGCACCACUGCACUCCAGCCUGGGUGACAGAGUGAGACUCUGUCUCAA
rnacentral:SRP_RNA from 1 species